CUCUGAUCAUUUCAGUGAUACUCACAUGGAUGAACAAUGAGGCCGGUCCCUCUUCCAAAGUAAUGUUUCCUUGGAAGUAGAAAAGGACCCACUCACCAGGCAUGACAGUCAGACUUCAUUGUCUGCCACUUACAGCUUUGGGCGUUUAAUGGAAAUUUCACAAGCCAGUUUCUCGUGAGCUUCACUACCUUGAAGAAGUGUGAUACAAUCAAAAUACCUCUGGUUUUGCCUGUCUACCCUGAUCACAGGAGCUUCCAUACAUGGAGUUAUGGCCCAAGAAUGUAUUUCUGAACACCUUUCAAACUUGCAGCUUAUUGUCACCUUAUGAAAAAUAUUUCAAAAGAAAUCUCUGAUUCUGGCCUCAUGGUGAACUCUUUGCUAUAUUUAAAUGUAGACAUAGAAAGGCGGGGCCUCUUCUCCCAAAGGAAGAAAAUGAUUUGGAAAAUGGCACAGAAUGAGACAGCUCAAUGCAAGAAGUUACACUUGGCCAGGAUUCCAUUUUUUUGUUCCUGAUAUAAAGUACCUCUUAAAGAAUUUAUCUCUUGCCUAUCCCUGGAACAAGGAAAGUGAAAAUGCAUGGGCAUCAGAGCCAGGAACCUCAGCAAAGGUCGACCAGAGAUGUAGGUAUUUUGUGAAAAGUGGAAGGAGAGGGAUUGCUGGGGUGAUAUAAAAAACCCACCCCAAGAUUUUAAUUGGAGCCAAAAAUCACACUGAGUUUAACAAUAUGUCUCUGAACAAAUUCCAGUGGGGACAGCCUAGAGGGAAGACUUGAAAAUGAAUUCUAAAAUUCCAUAAUAUUUUAUACUUCAUGAUAAAUAAACAAUGAAAAAUAUAAUUGAUAUUUGGGUAGCAGAAGCCUGCAGCAACUUUCCCAGCAUUGGGGGGGGGGUAUUAUUUGGCUAAGCUGUGGAAGGGUCCCGGCCUUGAGGCCACCCAUGUUCUGACAGCCUAAGAAACUUGCUCACCCAUGGCUGAAAACACUUUCAACUCAAUGGACAUCAACAUCAGAAAAUCACAUGAAAACAACUUACUGGGGAGAACAUUAAGUCGUGUGCCUUUUCCAAAGAUGAUUUUGUUAGAAUUUGAUUUACACCGUGACUGGGACCAUAGCAAAAACUCCUAGAGAUUCUUUUUUGAGAAAGCUACAUAUUCAUUGAUGAAUAUUUCACCUUCAUGAGACUAAACAGGUUCCCAGAUUGUCUCUUCUCUCAUAAUAAACUGGCCUCAUUA